rnacentral:rRNA from 1 species
AGCCUACGGGACGCAGCAGUGAGGAAUAUUGGUCAAUGGGCGGGAGCCUGAACCAGCCAAGCCGCGUGAGGGAAGAAGGUACAGCGUAUCGUAAACCUCUUUUGUCAGGGAACAAAGGCGGGGACUAGUCCCCGGAUGAGGGUACCUGAAGAAAAAGCAUCGGCUAACUCCGUGCCAGCAGCCGCGGUAAUACGUAGGGGGCAAGCGUUAUCCGGAUUUACUGGGUGUAAAGGGAGCGUAGACGGCAUAGCAAGUCUGAAGUGAAAGCCCGUGGCUCAACCGCGG